rnacentral:pre_miRNA from 1 species
CAAAUACUCCCUCCGUCCGGAAAUACUUUUCAUCAAAAUGGAUAAAAGGAAAUGUAUCUAGACGUAUUUUAGUUUUAGAUACAUCUCUUUUUAUCCAUUUUGAUGACAAGUUUUUUCGGACGGAGGGAGUAGAAA